AUUGAACGCUGGCGGCAUGCCUUACACAUGCAAGUCGAACGGCAGCGCGGACUUCGGUCUGGCGGCGAGUGGCGAACGGGUGAGUAAUACAUCGGAACGUACCCUGUUGUGGGGGAUAACUAGUCGAAAGAUUAGCUAAUACCGCGUACGACCUGAGGGUGAAAGUGGGGGACCGCAAGGCCUCACGCAGCAGGAGCGGCCGAUGUCUGAUUAGCGAGUUGGUGGGGUAAAGGCCCACCAAGGCGACGAUAAGUAGCUGGUCUGAAAGGACGAUCAGCCACCCGGGGACGGAGACACGGCCCAGACUCCUACGGGAGGCAGCAGUGGGGAAUUUUGGACAAUGGGGGCAACCCUGAUUCAGCAAUGCCGCGUGUGUGAAGAAGGCCUUCGGGUUGUAAAGCACUUUUGUCCGGAAAGAAAUCGCGCUGGUUAAUACCUGGCGUGGAUGACGGUACCGGAAGAAUAAGCACCGGCUAACUACGUGCCAGCCGCCGCCGUAA
rnacentral:rRNA from 1 species